CUUAACACUGAGCCCCGAGCAUGCCCAAUUUCAUCUAAUCUCGCAAACUAAUUAGGGUCGAGCUUGGUUAGUACAUAGAUGGGUGAUUACCGUUGAAUACCAGAGCCUAUUUGAGU
rnacentral:rRNA from 1 species